rnacentral:rRNA from 1 species
GAUGAACGCUGGCGGCGUGCCUAAUACAUGCAAGUCGAGCGAACAGACGAGGAGUUUGCUCCUCUGACGUUAGCGGCGGACGGGUGCGUAACACGUGGAUAACCUAACUCUAAGACUGGGAUAACUUCGGGAAACCGGAGCUAAUACCGGAUAAUAUAUUGAAUCGCAUGGUUCAAUAGUGGAAGACGGUUUUGCUGUCACUUAUAGAUGGAUCCGCGCCGCAUUCGCUAGUUGGUAAGGUAACGGCUUACCAAGGCAACGAUGCGUAGCCGACCUGAGAGGGUGAUCGGCCACACUGGAACUGAGACACGGUCCAGACUCCUACGGGAGGCAGCAGUAGGGAAUCUUCCGCGAUGGGCGAAAGCUUGACGGAGCAACGCCGCGUGAGUGAUGAAGGUCUUCGGAUCCUAAAACUCUGUUAUUAGGGAAGAACAAAUGUGUAAGUAACUAUGCACGUCUUGACGGUACCUAAUCAGAAAGCCACGGCUAACUACGUG